GACAGCAAAGGGCUCCUUAAGUUG
rnacentral:misc_RNA from 1 species